AUUGAACGCUGGCGGCAUGCUUUACACAUGCAAGUCGAACGGCAGCGCGGGCUUCGGCCUGGCGGCGAGUGGCGAACGGGUGAGUAAUGCAUCGGAACGUGCCCAGUAGUGGGGGAUAGCCCGGCGAAAGCCGGAUUAAUACCGCAUACGACCUGAGGGUGAAAGCGGGGGACCGAAAGGCCUCGCGCUAUUGGAGCGGCCGAUGUCGGAUUAGCUAGUUGGUGGGGUAAAGGCUUACCAAGGCGACGAUCCGUAGCUGGUCUGAGAGGACGACCAGCCACACUGGGACUGAGACACGGCCCAGACGCCUACGGGAGGCAGCAGUGGGGAAUUUUGGACAAUGGGGGCAACCCUGAUCCAGCCAUGCCGCGUGCGGGAAGAAGGCCUGCGGGUUGUAAACCGCUUUUGUUCGGGAAGAAAUCCUCUGGGCUAAUACCCCGGGGGGAUGACGGUACCGGAAGAAUAAGCACCGGCUAACUACGU
rnacentral:rRNA from 1 species